AAUUGAUCUUGGUUCAGGAUGAACGCUAGCUACAGGCUUAACACAUGCAAGUCGUGGGGCAGCAUGGUCUUAGCUUGCUAAGACUGAUGGCGACCGGCGCACGGGUGAGUAACGCGUAUCCAACCUUCCCCUUAGUAGGGCAUAGCCCGGCGAAAGUCGGAUUAAUACCCUAUGUUGUUCGUCGAGGACAUCUGAAGUGAACCAAAGAUUUAUCGCUAAGGGAUGGGGAUGCGUCUGAUUAGGUAGUAGGCGGGGUAACGGCCCACCUAGCCUUCGAUCAGUAGGGGUUCUGAGAGGAAGGUCCCCCACAUUGGAACUGAGACACGGUCCAAACUCCUACGGGAGGCAGCAGUGAGGAAUAUUGGUCAAUGGCCGAGAGGCUGAACCAGCCAAGUAGCGUGCCAGGAUGACGGCCCUAUGGGUUGUAAACUGCUUUUAUGCGGGGAUAAAGUGCGCCACGUGUGGCGUUUUGUAGGUACCGCAUGAAUAAGGACCGGCUAAUUCCGUGCCAGCCGCGGC
rnacentral:rRNA from 1 species